rnacentral:rRNA from 1 species
AUACGUAGGGGGCAAGCGUUGCCCGGAAUGAUUGGGCGUAAAGGGCGCGUAGGCGGCCAUGUAAGUCCGACGUGAAAGUCCUGUUUUUAAGGUGGGAAUUGCGUUGGAAACUGUAUGGCUUGAGUGCAGGAGAGGUAAGUGGAAUUCCCGGUGUAGCGGUGAAAUGCGUAGAGAUCGGGAGGAACACCAGUGGCGAAGGCGACUUACUGGACUGUAACUGACGCUGAGGCGCGAAAGUGUGGGGAGCAAACAGGAUUAGAUACCCUGGUAGUCCACACUGUAAACGAUGAAUGCUAGGUGUAGGGUGUAUCGACCCCUUCUGUGCCGGAGUCAACACAAUAAGCAUUCCGCCUGGGGAGUACGGCCGCAAGGUUGAA